rnacentral:rRNA from 1 species
AUGUGCAUUAUUGGUUUCCUGAGUACAAACACUAUGCACCCUACAAUUUGUGAUCCAUGGUCGCAAUGCGAAGUCGUUACUCUAUUGGUGGCACAAUAUUUUAAACACCAUCAUGAAGUAUUGUGGUGUGAUUGCACAAGUGGUGAAGAUGGUCACCGGGAGUGCCAAGCAUGGAGAUCUAAGUUUUUCUUCUUGUUAAUAUAUGUGUUGGCCAAUUUAUUGAUUCACUCAAUGUUGCAACUCGAUGAUCACGACAAUGUUAUAGCUCCAACGUGUUGUCGCGUUACUAUAGGACGAAGGGCAAGCUUUUCACAUUGA